UCUGCCCCCUCCUCUCUGCCGGCACCAUCACAGCCUUCCCCUGAUCUGCCCCUUUAAGAAAAAUCAGCCCUCUCCGCUUCUAACCCUCCGCACACUGACCUUACACACUGGACAAUAUUUAAGGAUCAAGGUGCCAUCCUAUAAAGAGCGUUUCGGCAGCUCCUCUCCUUUCUCCCCGGCUCGGGUUCGUCGGUGCUCGCGGGGCUUUUCCCCUCGGUUUGUCGCGGCAGCAGCGCCGGGAGGGCCCCGGGCCCCGCACCCCGCGGGCACCGGGAGGGGUCGGCGAGGGAGGGCGGCCGCUCUGCUCUGCCUUUCAGGUGGAAGGCAGCGCGCUGGGGCAGCGCUCCCCAGGGACGGGGGAAGCCGCCAGACACCCGAGGAAAGGGGGGAGAGGAAGGACAGACACCCCCGGAGCCCCCCAGGAGCUGGCCGCCCCUCCCCGAGCGGAGGUAGCGAGCGCCGGGGCAGAGGCGCUUUGAAGAGAGGAGCGAAGUGUAAAUAGCCGGUGAUUGAUGUGCUGGCUUUGACUGCGGAGAAAGCACUAUUUUAAUUCAAGUGGCCAGGUCAGAUGGUCACGGAAGAAGGUUGAAAGGUAGGAUUUAAUGAGAUUAAUAUGGAGAGAGGGAGAAAACGCGCGUCGUCUUGAACAUUCCAUAAAAUAAUGGGGUGAGGGCAGCGCGGCGCUCCGCGCUGGAGGUGCGGACCCAUCCCGGGGAGCCCUCGCACCGAAGGGCACCGCAAAAAAAAAAACCAAAAACCAACAAAAAACAAAGCAAAACUUGUGUGGGUGCGUCAGGUCCCUGCUGGAAGCCAUUCCGCCAGCUGCACUCCUGCCCUGCAGGUGGAACUGGGGAGGGGGGGAAUAUUCCUGCUAAUUACCGGUUUUCCCCUCCUCAAUAAACUCUUUAAUUGCAAA